UACGUAGGGCGCAAGCGUUAUCCGGAAUUAUUGGGCGUAAAGAGCUCGUAGGCGGUUUGUCGCGUCUGCCGUGAAAGUCCGGGGCUCAACUCCGGAUCUGCGGUGGGUACGGGCAGACUAGAGUGAUGUAGGGGAGACUGGAAUUCCUGGUGUAGCGGUGAAAUGCGCAGAUAUCAGGAGGAACACCGAUGGCGAAGGCAGCUCUCUGGGUCCCUACCGACGCUGGGGUGCGAAAGCAUGGGGAGCGAACAGG
rnacentral:rRNA from 1 species